rnacentral:RNase_P_RNA from 1 species
GGAGCUUAAAAGACAACCGCUGGGGAAUUGUCCCGAGAGGAAAGUCCGGGCAGCAUAGGAUAUGGUAGUCGCUAACGGCGACCGUCCGUGAGGAUAGGGAAAGUACCACAGAAACGUAUACCGCCCAUUUUGGGUAAGGGUGAAAAGAGUGAGGUAAGAGCUCACAGCAUGCAGUGGCGACAUUGGAUGAGGGCAAACCCUACCGGCUGCAAGGAGUGCUACGUACUUUGAUCCGAAGAUGCACGUUUACCGCUAGACUGUUAUGGCAACGUAACAGGUAGAUAGAUGGUUGUCGGUCUACUUAAGGAACUCACUGUUUAUGGCGUAAGUUGUGAGAGCGAGAACUCUGAUUGUAGAUUACAGAACCCGGCUUAUUGAGAGCUCAAAGA